rnacentral:rRNA from 1 species
AGCGAACGCUGGCGGCAGGCUUAACACAUGCAAGUCGAGCGGGCCCUUCGGGGUCAGCGGCGGACGGGUGAGUAACGCGUGGGAACGUGCCUUCUGGUCUGGAAUAACCCUGGGAAACUAGGGCUAAUACCGGAUACGCCCUUUUGGGGAAAGGUUUACUGCCGGAAGAUCGGCCCGCGUCUGAUUAGCUAGUUGGUGGGGUAACGGCCUACCAAGGCGACGAUCAGUAGCUGGUCUGAGAGGAUGAUCAGCCACACUGGGACUGGGACACGGCCCAGACUCCUACGGGAGGCAGCAGUGGGGAAUAUUGGACAAUGGGCGCAAGCCUGAUCCAGCCAUGCCGCGUGAGUGAUGAAGGCCUUAGGGUUGUAAAGCUCUUUUAUCCGGGACGAUAAUGACGGUACCGGAGGAAUAAGCCCCGGCUAACUCCGUG